rnacentral:rRNA from 1 species
UACGUAGGGUGCAAGCGUUGUCCGGAAUUAUUGGGCGUAAAGGGCGCGUAGGCGGUAUGGCAAGUGGAAGGUGAAAUCCCUCGGCUUAACCGAGGAACUGCCCUCCAAACUGCUUUACUUGAGGCCGGGAGAGGUGAGUGGAAUUCCCAGUGUAGCGGUGGAAUGCGUAGAGAUCCGGAAGAACACCGGUGGCGAAGGCGGGUCUCUGGGCCGUUACUGACGCUGAGGAGCGAAAGCGUGGGGAGCGAACAGG